AUUGAACGCUGGCGGCAGGCCUAACACAUGCAAGUCGAGCGGAUGAGUGGAGCUUGCUCCAUGAUUCAGCGGCGGACGGGUGAGUAAUGCCUAGGAAUCUGCCUGGUAGUGGGGGACAACGUUUCGAAAGGAACGCUAAUACCGCAUACGUCCUACGGGAGAAAGUGGGGGAUCUUCGGACCUCACGCUAUCAGAUGAGCCUAGGUCGGAUUAGCUAGUUGGUGAGGUAAAGGCUCACCAAGGCGACGAUCCGUAACUGGUCUGAGAGGAUGAUCAGUCACACUGGAACUGAGACACGGUCCAGACUACUACGGGAGGCAGCAGUGGGGAAUAUUGGACAAUGGGCGAAAGCCUGAUCCUGCCAUGCCGCGUGUGUGAAGAAGGUCUUCGGAUUGUAAAGCACUUUAAGUUGGGAGGAAGGGCAGUAAGUUAAUACCUUGCUGUUUUGACGUUACCAACAGAAUAAGCACCGGCUAACUUCGUGCCAGCCGCCGCGGUAACAC
rnacentral:rRNA from 1 species